rnacentral:misc_RNA from 1 species
GUGAAUCAUCGAAUUUUUGAACGCAAAUUGCACUCUCCGGUUUUCCGGGAGGGUAUGCCUGUUUGAGGGUCAGUCUAAAAAAAAUCGGCAUUGUUGCUGCCUUAUGGUGAGUUUCGUCGGAGAUGGGUUAUCUUAAAUUUCGGUUUAAGCCACUUAAAAAUGUUUUUAUGUUUCUAAGAAUGUUUCAAAGAUUUUUCUU